rnacentral:tRNA from 1 species
AAUAAAGUGCCUGAUUAAAAGGAUUAUUCUGAUAGAAUAAAUAAUGUAAAA